rnacentral:sRNA from 1 species
GCCAGGCACAGUGGAGCACACCUGUAAUCCCAGUGACUUGGGAGGCUGAGACAGGAGGAUCAUGAGUUCAAAUCCAGCCUCAGCAAAGGCGAGGCAUUAAGCAACUCAGUGAGAUCCUGUCUCUA